rnacentral:tRNA from 1 species
CAGAAAGUAGUUUAUAUAAAAUAAUAGUUUUGGAGGCUAUAGAAGUUUAGGCCUUUCUGA